GAUGAACGCUAGCGAUAGGCUUAACACAUGCAAGUCGAGGGGCAGCACAAGGUAGCUUGCUAUCUGGGUGGCGACCGGCGCACGGGUGCGUAACGCGUAUGCAACUUGCCCUAUACAGGAGGAUAACCCGUCGAAAGACGGACUAAUACUGCGUAUGCUCACAACUUGGCAUCAAGUGGUGAGGAAAGAAAUUCGGUAUAGGAUAGGCAUGCGUCCCAUUAGCUUGUUGGUGAGGUAACGGCUCACCAAGGCAGCGAUGGGUAGGGGAACUGAGAGGUUUAUCCCCCACACUGGUACUGAGACACGGACCAGACUCCUACGGGAGGCAGCAGUGAGGAAUAUUGGUCAAUGGGCGCGAGCCUGAACCAGCCAAGUCGCGUGAAGGAUGACUGUCUUAUGGAUUGUAAACUUCUUUUAUACGGGAAUAACAAGAGUCACGUGUGACUCCCUGCAUGUACCGUAUGAAUAAGCAUCGGCUAACUCCGU
rnacentral:rRNA from 1 species